UACGUAGGGCGCAAGCGUUGUCCGGAAUUAUUGGGCGUAAAGAGCUCGUAGGCGGUCUGUCACGUCUGCCGUGAAACCCGAGGCUUAACCUCGUGGCUUGCGGUGGAUACGGGCAGACUAGAGGUAGGUAGGGGAGAACGGAAUUCCCGGUGUAGCGGUGAAAUGCGCAGAUAUCGGGAGGAACACCGGUGGCGAAGGCAGCUCGCUGGACGGUACGUGACGCUGAGGCGCGAA
rnacentral:rRNA from 1 species